rnacentral:misc_RNA from 1 species
CAGAGUUCAUGCCCUUCGGGGUAGAUCUCCCACCCUAUGUAUUUAUACCUUUGUUGCUUUGGUGGGCCGCUCGGCUUCGGCCAGGCUACCGGCUCCGGCUGGUAAGCGCCCGCCAGAGAACCAAACUCUGAAUGUUAGUGUCGUCUGAGUACUAUAUAAUAGUUA